rnacentral:rRNA from 1 species
AUGGACCGGGUGGUCAAGCCCAACGUCGCGGUCCUGCGGGAGUGCGGGCUAGGUGCUCGCGAUAUUGCCAAGCUGCUCAUCCAAAUGCCGAGGAUCGUCACCGCCAGUCCGGAGCGCGCCCUCGCGAUGGUCGCGUGCGCCGAACGCAUUGGUGUGCCCCGUGGCUCUGGGAUGUUUAGGCAAGCGCUGCAGGCUGUCGCGUGCUUCAGCGAGGAGAAGAUUGCCGCCAAAGUGGAACAGUUGAAGAAGACAUUGCGGUGGUCGGAUGCCGAUGUCCGCAUUGCUCUGUGCAAGUGGCCCACUGUGCUGAGGUGGUCAAAGGGCAUGCUGCAGCGCAAGUCCGAGUUCCUCUUCUCUAAGGUGGGCUUGGAACCGGCGUACAUUGCUCACCGUCCGGCAAUACUCGGUCUUAGCUUGGAGCGCCGGCUCGAGCCCCGGUACUAUGUUAUGAGGUUUCUUAAGGAGAAUGGAUUGUUGAGUCAUGGCAGAGACUACAAUAGUAUGGUCUUGGUCAGCGAGAAGGUAUUUGUGGAGAGGUUCAUACGCCCCCACAAGCAAGCUGCACCACUCAUUGCUGAAGACUAUGCAGCCGCUUGCACAGGGGAGGUGCCUGCUAGAUUCAGAUUUACAUGA